rnacentral:lncRNA from 1 species
AAGAAGAGGCAGGAGAGAGUCAAAGUGUAAAGGGACUUGAUCCACCAUUGCUGGCUUUGAAGAUGGAAGAAGGGGGCUGUGAGCCAAGGGAUGCAGGCAGCUUCUAGAAGCUUGCAACAGCCCUCAGCUGAAGCCAGUGAGGAAAUGGGGCCCUACAACCACCGGGAACGGAAUUCUGCCUUCAGCCUCAAUGGGCUUCAAGCACACUCUUCCCCAGAGCUUCUGGAAAGGAACCCAUCCCUGCCAACACUUUGAUUUUAGCCUGGUGAGACCUGUGCCACACUCCUGACCUACAAAACUGCUACUUGUUGCAACUCAUUUCCACAUGUCAAUUUCCGAAUGAGACAAGGUUUCUGAGUGCAAGCAGUAGAUGCUGACCCAUCACUGGAAGGAUACUGGAUAAUUCACAGUCAGUGGGAGAGCUGGAGAAACAGACUUGGAAAGGGAGUAGGAGAGAAACGACUACUCAGGAAGUAACCUUGGAAGCAAAGCUAAUUCCAUUCUAAUCUGUGCUCUUGAAAUGUGAAGAUCAUAAGAAAUGAGUGAUUGAGAAGAUUCUGGAGAGCCUUGCUUGUUCCAGAUGGCUUCUGCUCCAAAAGAAGAAGCUUUUCAAGUGUCCCACGCAGUCCUGAACCCUUUGGGGCCUUCUCCUUUCACUGUGCCUCAAGCCCAAUAGAAGAAAAUCUCAUCCCAGCAGGGAAGGGAGGGUGAGGCGGAUGUGGGGGGUGUUUCAAGCAAGGUGAUUUUCUGGGUGAAAGUACUAUGUUCUUCCCAGCACUUAGCACAAAGCCUGCCACCCAGGUCAUGUGGGCGGAGAGACUUGUACUGCACCGAACAUCCUCACCUGUCAGCAGAGUAUCUGAUAGGGGUAGCAUUUACAGCACGUGCACUAAAAAUGCUAUUGUACCUUAUGCUUUACUUUAAUUACUCAAACCGGUGUUGUUUCCAGUGUUUUUUUCUCUCUCCUAAUGAACCUUCAACUGCUUGUACCUCCUUUCUCCCCCAUGGAAAAGUUGCAUAAUGAUGGCUUGUUUACAAACCUG